CCUACGGGAGGCAGCAGUGAGGAAUAUUGGUCCAUGGACGAGAGUCUGAACCAGCCAAGUAGCGUGAAGGAUGACUGCCCUAUGGGUUGUAAACUUCUUUUAUAUGGGAAUAAAACGUUCCACGUGUGGGAUUUUGUAUGUCCCCUAUGAAUAAGGAUCGGCUAACUCCUUGCCAGCAGCCGCGGGAAUACGGAGGAUACGAGCGUUAUCCGGAGUUAUUGGGUUUAAAGGGAGCGUAGGUGGAUUGUUAAGUCAGUUGUGAAAGUGUGCGGCUCAACCGUAAAAUUGCAGUUGAAACUGGUAGUCUUGAGUACAGUAGAGGUGAGCGGAAUUCGUGGUGUAGCGGUGAAAUGCUUAGAUAUCACGAAGAACACCGAUUGCGAAGGCAGUUCACUGGACUGCAACUGACACUGAGGCUCGAAAGUGUGGGUAUCAAACAGGAUUAGAUACCCCUGUAGUC
rnacentral:rRNA from 1 species